rnacentral:tRNA from 1 species
GCCGAGGUGAUGAAAUUGGCAAACAUGCAGCACUCAAAAUGCUGUGAGCGCAAGCUCUUGCGGGUUCAAGUCCCGCCCUCGGCA